GGAGAAACACAUAAAACUUCUCUUGGUGUCAGACUGACGAAAUACCCACACACGUUGCGGGAUCCUUACAAUAUUUUCUUACUUCUUUCAAAUGAUAUCCAAGCAUUUUUUGUAUAUCACUGAAAAUCUUAUUCAGUUCUGAUUCUGUAGAGCACUCACGAGAUCAAUGGACAACAAAAUACAGGUGUCAGGCCUUAUGCCAAUGAACAGUGCGCUGCAGGUAAGUAUGGGUGAUGAGGCUGAACUUUUGACACAGAGACUACAGUUUGAUAAACCAAUAGCUUCCUUUAUUAAUUUCAAAGGAGAGAGAAAUCUUUACAAGUCAACAUCCUGACAAUUCAUUAGCAAAAUAUAAUACCUCUGUGUGGAGGGAUGAUCCAAACAACAAGUGAAAAGUUCCAGUUCAGUUAAGUCACUCACAUGGCAAAACGGUGUUGGAAUAAGGAUAAUGCUGAUGUUUUCUUCUUUGAAGGUGAAGAUUGACAGUAAUGAUGGUUGGUAAAAAUGAAUAGUGGUGGUGAACAGUGGAGACGAAUGGUGAAAUUCUUUGGCAGAAAUACUGUGAAGUCACAAGAUGUACAAACAAACCAAUCUUUCAACUGUGCCUGUUUGAGCCAAGCUGAAAGCUCUUAUAUAUCGACUUCAGUAACUUUACUCUAUGCUUUUCCCUUUUUGGGGAAAGACAGAAUGUUUAUUAUUACCAAGAAAACAACAUCUAACACAAUACAAUACAUUUUGUCUGACACUUUAUAUUCCAGCUCUGGUAACUCAUUGUUAUGGGGACAGAAUCCACAGGUUUGAUAUGAAUAUACAAUAUAUCAUUGUCUCUCUCCUUUCAAUACAUCCCUCUCUUUCCUCCAAACUCCCCUUUCCAUUUUUCCUUCCCCUUUCUGUUCAAACAAAAAAACAAGAUCUAGAGGAGAGAAAAGACACAUCACUUUUAGCCUGAACUCCUGUCCCUCACAAUUCUAAUGAUAUUUGAAUCAGUUUCUUAUGAUGCUUAGAACUUGAGCUGUUCCAAAUUGAAGUCUAAGAAAAUAAUUUUAUUUUUGAUUCCUCCAUUAGAGAGUACUAAAAUCAAACUGCUGUAUGUACUCUUCCCUUUAUAGCAGAGGCACAAUACCAUCUAUUAUUUAAAAAUUAAACUAAUGUAGCAUCAGGUAUAUCAGACAUUGGCCUG
rnacentral:lncRNA from 1 species